AUGCCGCCUCGUCCUCUCGUCCCGCCCACAGUCUCCCGGCGACUUCGCACGUCGCCUCGCCGCACGUCGCCCCGAGCCGCCUCACGUCGUUCCGUUUGCACGUCUUUCCGCCCCGCGUUUCCCCGCCCCACGUCUCACUGCCAACCUCAGCCCGUCUCGCGUCACCCGGUAGGCCGUCGCUCGGCUGAGAUGUGGGCGGCUCUCGGCGGGGCCGGGGGUCUCCAUGUGGGGCUCCUUCUGGGCGGCGCUCGAGGCCUGCACAGCUCGCCUGUCUCCUGCGGCAAGAACCUACUCAAGAAAUUUGCUUCGAAAACCAAGAAGAAGUUUUGGUAUGAAGGUCCUUCCUUGGGCUCUCACUUGACUCACAAGCCGUCUCAGUUGGCAUCCCUGACAAAGAGCACCUCCAAGAGAGCCAGGAGGGAAGACCACGUGCGCCUGAGGGCCCUGAACGGCCUCCUCUACAAAGCGCUGACUGAGUUGCUGUGCACCCCGGAAGUGAGCCAGGAGCUCUGCGACUUGAAUGUGGAGCUCUCCAAGGUCUCUCUGACUUCAGACUUCUCCACCUGCCGCGUGUACUGGAGGACGACUGUCUCUGAGGCUCAGAACGCAAACGUGGGGGCUGUCCUGCAGAGGAGCGCUGCGCACAUGAGGCACCUUUUGAUGUCCCAGCAGACCCUGAGGAACAUGCCGCCAAUAGUGUUUGUUCAGGACAAAAAAAAUGCAGCUGCAGUGGAGGUUGAUCGGUUACUGGCAAUCGCUGAUUUUGGACCCCCGGAUGAAAAAGACUUUGAGCAAAAUGAUUUCAGCACCCCUGAGGCCCUGGACACUACAUCGCCACGUGGUACCCUGGGCCCUGCCGCACCAUCAAGUCUGUGUGGGAUCGACCACGAGGCUCUCAACAAGCAGAUCCUGGAGUACAAGAGGAGGAGAGAGAAGGGGUGUGGGAGCACGGGCCCAGCGUGGCUGGAGCCCACGGCUGAGCUGAUGAGGAAGAGGAAGGCCGGGCCCUGCGUGGACGACGACCUCCCGCCCAAGGACUGCCUGUGGGAGAUGGGGAGUGACGGGCCCCUGGACGGCGGGGCCCUUCCCGAGGAGCACACCCCAGGACGCAAGGGGGCUCCAGGGGCAGAGCGGGAACCAGAGGCAGAGAGAAAGGAUCGCGGGUCCUGACCCGCUCCCGUGAGCACACAGAGACCCGUGCUGCUGGUGCCCCCGGGAUGCCCUCGUGCAGGUGCAGGCUGAGCUGUGCGGGUGUCACCUCUGAGCCCUUCAGACCUAUUGCUGUGCUACAGUGAGAGAUGGGGUGAGGCUGUGGAGAGGGUGUGAAAUCUCUUAGGUCAAUGGCGUGCGGUCUGCCGUCCAUAUUUGGGGUUCCAGGCUUGCAUAUUCGCUUGCUCACUAGAGUUUGUCCACGGCCCCCAUAUCCAUACUUGUGGUACUUUCAUGGUCGUUCUUGGACACGCACAGACCAGUGGGAUGCACAUGUGGCCUGUGGUCACACCAGGCACUGCUCUGUCUGCUUUGUUCAUCUUGGGCUGUGAACAGCCACCCUCUCUGAUCGGGUUAGCGCCACGUUAGUGCCUUCUGACAGAGAUUUCACUCAUGGUGCCUAAGUGCAAGAGGCCGUGUUGUGUCUCCUAGAGAAAGCACGUGUUAGAUGAGCCUCGUUAGGAAAUAAAUAAUCAUUUAAUUCUGACACAGAAACGUUGUCCUGGGCUUGGGGCAUCUCCAUUUCCCAACUAUCAUUAACCUUGAAACACUGAAAAUGAUAAAGUUCAGAUGAUUGGAGAAAGGUACACUAUUAAGCUAAAGCAAGGAAACUUGUAACGUGGCUUUUCAGGGAGUGUAAUUUCCCUGCUUGUAAACUGUUCAGGAAGGAAGGCGUUGGCUUGCCUCUGCAGCAGUGGCAAGCCCCAAAUGCCACUUUCCCUGUCGGCAUCUGGGACCAGGUGUGAUGCCCCAGCAGGGAUAUGGCACCAAGAAGCUCCGUCUCUGCCGGGACAGUGGCCGCCUCUGAAGGGACGGCAUCACGGGCCGCCCUGUGGAUGCUCCAGGCAUGUUGCUGUUUGAGUGGUGCUUGUGGGAUCCUGCCCCGGAAGGGUGCACGUAGCCUGUGUGUGGGCUGUUUCCAUUAGGAGUGUGGGUUGCUUACACAGCCUCUUAUGACCAGAGAGGAAAUGUCCAGAGGGAGGAUUGACCUGUGUUAAAAUGUGCACGGGAUGUGUCCUGAUCAGGUGUGGUAAGAUGACAGAGUUGGAAACUGCUACCUUGAAAGAAGAGUUCUUGACUCACAGCUCCCGAGAGGAGGGGUGCACCACGCUGCACGGGGCCCACGAGGAGCGCCAGGGUCUGUCAGCAGGCUGAGGGUGAGGAGGAAGCGUGGCUGAACCCGUCUCGAGGCUCCUGGAGGACGGAGUGGGCCAGGGCAUAGAACUUUGCUUCCUCAGAGCACAUGGAAGGAGCUCCCAGGCUGCUGGACACGUGGAGCUGGGGAGUGGCCGCUCAGAGAUGGGGGGAAGCUCCGUGCCCUUCCCGGUCCCUCGCCCUGUGCACCUCUUCCAUCUGGCUGUUCCCGGGUUACAUCCUGUCAUAGUAAACCAGUACCUGCAGGUGGAGCUCAUUAGCAACCAGAUGUCCUACAAUUUAAACUUACUGAAGACAGAACAAAGGGACUCUGACUAUGGAUAUCUUAGAAAGGGCCCUCUGAGCAGCCAAAGAACAAAGCUGAAGAUGACCGAAUAUUAAGCAUGUAAAAACAGCCAAUAGGAAAGAAAAAUUGACAAGUCUUCCAGGGGAGCACUGCCCACGAAAGUUACUUUUAGUCUUGAAAAACUUCAUGUUCUUCAAAAGGGUUUUUCUACCUUGAGUUUUCCUCUGAUAUCUUGGCCUUCCAAGUCCUAUCAGUAAAGUUCAGAAUACCUAAAAUUUUCUUACGGCAUCUUCUGUUCAAGAAUUUGUGAUACGUAUAUUUUCUGUUGUUUUUUUUUUAAUAAAAAGAGUAAGUAGUUUUCAUCAUAUGUUUUAAAAAGCAUAUUCAAGUCAUCACCAUCAAAACUGUGACGUAUCUAAGCUCUAGAGUAAAAGAUGGGGAAAGCCUGAGCAAGUGAACUGCCCCAUCGUCUACCUGCCUGUGGGCUCAACACCAGCCUGUUGAGAGGUGUGGACACCCGUAUCCGAAGGUCGCGUUUCAGAAUUUGCUCAACAUUUAAUUGAAGGUUAUCAAAGCUGUGUAGAAUGGAACACUGGAAAGAAUAAUGCGUCAUGUGACAAAGUAGAGCUCAAAUUUGCCUUUUAAAGACAGUUCGAGAUGAAGAACCAAAAUCUAUCAGAUGAAAUUUGACAGGAAUACACACAAACUCCUGUGUUUGAGAUUUAAAAUGUUAAUAAGCUACAGGAUUGUGGGCUAGGUGAAAAGGGUCUGGCGGUCCCACAGUUCUGGCUGAGCUGCGGCGGGCGCGCUGCUGCGGCUUGGCCGGGGGCUGCGGCUUGGCCGGGGGUGGCCGUCACUGUGGCACUGGGCCCUGGAGCCGAGUUUAAACAGGACCUCGAUGGUAGGGGACGACGCCCUGGGAAGGGUUGGCUAAGCCUGUUGUGAGACACGCAGGGGAAGCUGCAAGGUUAUUCCGUGGUGGAGGGGAGCUGAGACCAAGACCGGCAGCAGCAGUUGAGGAGGAGGCCUGAGCUCCCUGCCUGGGGCACCUGCAGGUCAGCUUUGAAUCUGCAGUUUUACCUUGAGAUGUUACCUCUGUUAGAGGCAAAGGCUCCUUGCUAAGUGUUUGACUCACAUUCACCCCUCUUUUCCCCAGCCCCCCACUUGUCACCCGCUUGCAGGCUUGCUUCUCUCCAGGACCCCUCAGCACAAGAGGCCACUCGAGCCACAGCCCUGUGGGCAGGGUCCACGCUUGCGCACAGUCUCCCCUCCCGGUGCCUCACUGCGCUUGCUCCUGCAGCUGCAUCAGGGCUCACGCUCGUCCCGCUGCUCCCGCCUCUCCUGGUGAAGAGCCCACAGGCCCAUAACCCAGUCCCCAAGGCCCUGAAAUGUGAGCGUCAGCCUCUCGGGGAGAGCCACGGUCCUCAAGACCUGCUAGGCAAGAGUGAAGCACGUGUCGAUCUGCCAGCAGUGGACUGCUGUUCAGGUUUGCCCCAAAGUUGAAGGCAGACGUUCUUGCUGCUCAGAGGAAGGAGAAGACAAGCAGCAAACGCAGGAGUGCCUUUGAGGCUCUUUCUCACCCUGUGCCUGAGAAAAGCAGAGAAGAAACAGAUGCGGAGCCAAGAAACCAGACAGACAUUGGGCAUUAGGAUCACUGGAAAAAAUCCGGGUUUGAGGGUGAGUGGGAGAAGCAGAGAGAAGACAAGACACGAUUCUCUGCACACAAGGAGGGUGGAGCCCCGGGUCAUCCAGGUCCGACAGGCGGAAGAGGCAGUGUGCUGCAGAGAAGGGCUUUCCAGCCAUUUGACUCUUAAACCUGCUGCCCUGGGUUCAGUGCUUGGAUCUGACGCUUGGUGGCGGAGUGGCCUCUGCUCCGUUUUCUCCGUGGUCGGGAUACUGGUAGCAUCUACCUCAGAGGUCACUGGGAGGACUGCCUGGGUGGCACGUGUGGCAGCACUUAGCAGAGCCUGGCACGUGGUAUGUGCUCCACGAGUCCCAGUUCUCGGUGCUGCCUUCCUAGGGCUUUGGUUUCAGUGACAAGUAAAGGGACUGAGGGGGGCAGUUGGUUCCGUCAUGUCCUUUGGUGGAGAUGCACACAGUCUACCUCGUGAGGACGUGCAGAGCAGGACUGUAGGUGCCCCUGGCUGGAGCUGGCUGGGCCUCUGCAGGGUGGGCCCACAGAUGUGACUGAAUUGUACAUGUGGCCAGGUUUUCAUGAAGAUGAAAGGAGGAGAUCAAAGUCUACCUGUUAGAAGUGAAAUUUGUUGAUCAGAACCCAGAGCACCAAGGAUACAGCUGAAGAGCCUUAUUUAUGCAAACAUCUCUGCAACCCCAAAAUAAACCCUGUUGGGAAAGCAGAAGCACAAACAGCCUUCUCUCUCAGGUUUUGUCUUUGGAACAUGAGGACCCCUGUGUGGCUCUUCUGCAUUAAUUUGAAUACCAUCCAGCACUAGACUUGAAUAACACCCGAACAGGAAGCUGAAUGUUGACAAGUUGUUUUCAUUCUGGAAAGUGAAGCUUAGUGUGAUUCUUAGGUGUGGACUCCUUAUAACCUCCUAUGUUGAGAUUCCCAAGCUGCGGCCACAGUCCACCCGGUUAAGCUGGUCAUGGGGUCUCAGGAGCCCCCUCGGAGGAGAUGGGACUCAGACAUCCAGGAUAAACAGUAUGGAGGAGAUGAAAAGAUUCAACAGAGCAUCACACAGUCCAAGGCCAGUGGUCAGCAAAGACCCACCACCAGGUCCCGUUAAGGACUUCUCUGUUGUGUUUCCAAACCUCCCUCCCCAGCUUGGCUCGUUUGCAGGCCUCAAGCUCCACGUGCUCGGAUACAUUGCCUUGUCUUUCUGGAUGCCUCCUGGGCGUUUCUGAUGCUCCUGUCUUGCCAGGCCGAGACCAGAACUCACACUCAUGCCCUCAGAUGCUGAAGAGAUGACGUCUCAGUUCUGCAUGAAAAUUCAUGGCGCUGCAGUAGCAUUCAUGUUGAAGAAACAUGUCUUCUGCUUGCAUUGGGAGGAACCCCUGCUUUGCAGUGGUAACAGCACCAAACUGGCCAAGUCUAGUAGGAUGGCAGCAGAAUUCCAGCUUUCCUAGAUCUCGGGGCACCUUCCCUUUCUAACCCCCCCCCUCCAACACACACACUGUCAGUGCAGUGUCUUAGUGCAAGAGUCUUGGUAGGCUUCCCUGCCACCAGGCCUUGGUUUCUGAAACUCUGAAUCUUGGUGCGACGAGGGUUGGAGGCAGGGUGGAGGGAAUCAUGCUUCUUUCCCUUCUAGAACAGGAACUAUGCAGAUUGGCCCAUCUUCCAGAUUUCAGCCAUGCAAGGUGUCAGGAGUGAAUUCUCUGUUCCCCAGGUGCAGAGGGCAGAUGGAAGAUACUGUCACAUUCCCCUGGGGUGGGUGCUUGGGUGCCCAACGACUCACCUCUAGAAACAUCCAAGCAGCAGCUUCUUUCCCUGAGAAAACUUAAGCUCUGUCUAACCAGGCACUUUGCUGGCCAUGCUGUGUGGGAAGCAGUUCUGACUCAGCCUUUCACCGUCUCCCCUUACCCUCCGUGAAGUGCACACAGGUAAUCAGACCAGUGUUAAGAGAACUCCCUUCCCUUCACAGCUCUGAGGAAUCUUUGGUGGAAGACGGAUGUGGGACGUCUCAUUGUGCCACAUAAUCCAAGAUGACAUGCAGUCACUAUACGACUACUGCUGAGAUCAGAAUCCAAGUGUUCCUGGUAAAUGUGGAAGCAAUCUAACUUACACCUAUUUUUAAAAAAUAGGUUUUCAGUAACUGAAGGAAAAAAAUGUAGCCUACAAUAUAUUUUAUUUAGCUCUGGACAA